CACGUAGGGCGCAAGCGUUGUCCGGAAUCACUGGGCGUAAAGCGCACGUAGGCGGAUUGUUAAGUCAGGGGUGAAAUCCUGGAGCUCAACUCCAGAACUGCCUUUGAUACUGGCGAUCUCGAGUCCGGGAGAGGUGAGUGGAACUGCGAGUGUAGAGGUGAAAUUCGUAGAUAUUCGCAAGAACACCAGUGGCGAAGGCGGCUCACUGGCCCGGUACUGACGCUGAGGUGCGAAAGCGUGGGGAGCAAACAGG
rnacentral:rRNA from 1 species